rnacentral:lncRNA from 1 species
AGCACCGGGAGUGCAUCGGACCUGGGUAAGGACCAUUGUUGGCACUCAGGGUGGCCAGAGAGGCUUUGCAUCUCCAGACUCUGCUUCCACAGCUGUGGCCGAGGACUCAGGCCUCUGUGGGACAGGAAAUCCCCCUCUCUGACUAGCGCCUGGAUCUGCCCCCAGGAGUGGACAGCGUGGUGAGAGAGGAGGUGUACAAGCUGCAGGCCCGGGUUGAUGUAUUAGAACAGGUGAGGCUUGGCUGGGAGUGGGUCUUGCUGGUGUCCCCAGUCCCCAGUCUCUGGAGCUGUGGUUCCAAAUCAUGGGGGGCUGGGAGUUUUAUGGGGAAAAGGUCGUAAGGAUGCUGGUUUUUUUUUUUCCAUUUUCUUUUCUUUUUUUUCGGAGCUGGGGACUGAACCCAGGGCCUUGCGCUUGCUAGUCAAGUGCUCUACUACUGAGCUAAAUCCCCAACCCCGGAUGCUGGCUUUCUUACUGUGCUAGGUAGCACUGUAUGGGAUUCCUUAGUCUAGGGCCCACUUAGAUUGCUAUACAAGGACUCUGGUAAGUCUCAAGCCACAGACCCCAAGACUCUCCUAGUUCAUCUCUGGGGUCCCAGGUCUUUGUAGCUAGAUUGUGGAUCUGUUAAUCACCUGUGUCUACUAGACGCUGGGGUCCCUCUAUUGCAAGCAGGGCCCUGCUGCUACAGCCCAGUAGAAAGAAGCCUUACUUCUCACACAUGCCCUUACUAGUCUUCCUUACGUUCCCAGGGAACAGAGGUCAAAGAGGUCACUAGGCUUUUUGCAACCUUCCUUUCAAACAGAAACUGCAGCUGGUGCUGGCCCCACUGCACAGCCUGGCCUCUCGGUCCCCGGAGCAUGGGCUGCAAGAUCCUGGCAGCCUGCUGGCCCACUCCUUCCAGCAGCUGGACCGGAUUGACUCACUGAGCGAGCAGGUCUCCUUCCUGGAGGAACAGCUGGGGUCCUGCUCUUGCAAAAAAGACCUGUGAUGGCUUCUCAGUGCCCAUGUUGGAUUGAGCUGUUACCCCUACGUCCCUUCUAGCCUGAGUUCAAGUGCUGUCCGGUGGUGCCUGUGAGCAGAAGGCCCUGCUUGUUUAUCCCUCUCUCUUAGGAGGUUCCUAGGCCCUGGGCAUGGGGAGGGGGGUCUUGUGUGGCUCUUAAGUGAGGCUUCCGGGAAAGGAAUAAGAUCUCCCUGCCUAAGAAGUGAGGUGGGGGCUGUCUCCACCUUUGUCAUAUUAAAGCUGGGACUUGAGCUGCUGUCACUGGGUGAGUCGGACUGUGUACACACUGUACUACUGCCAUGUAGGAGCUGCAGUGGGCAGUCCUGAGGCUCUCUUCAGCCUAUGCUGAUGCUGCCAAGCCCGUGGUCUGCACACCCUUCAGUUCUGUGGACCCUGCAUUCACUGAGCAAAGCAAUGCUGGCUGAUCACAGCUCACCUGCAGGCAGUUAGGGAGGAGGGAGCUCAGACACCGCAGCCCCAGGGAUCGAUUCACACACCAUCUUUCCCACCCUUCAUCCCUGGAUGGGGACUUGGGAAGAACUCUUACCACCCUCUGGUCUCUAGGCACUUCUGAGUUCAUUUAUAAAAAAAAGAACCAAAGUACAGCAGUGAUUUGUGACUGAGGCCGUCAGACGGUGGGGGUGGCAGGCUCUGCCCUCUGGUGCUAUGUGAACCGGCUUCCUUGAGACUGGAAGACCAAGUUCCUCCUCUUCAUGAUGGCCUGAUACAGGCCACUGCCUGGUUCCUGAAUGUUUGUCCUGCAUGAUGGGGUGGGCCUUGGGUAAUGCGUUGCCCAUUCCUAGGUGCCUCGUGGUCUUGUGGGUCAGCCCUCUUGCUGGAUUCUGGAGGCACAGGCUCGAGAUGGGAAAUUACAUAGGGUCCUGGGUUUAAGGCCUAUGCCAGAAGGGGCUUCCUGAUUCCAGGCCCCAGGGAGAGCCAGGCCAGCACGGGAGCAGGCUAUGAUGAUGCUUGGUAAGUGGGAGGCUGCGGCCUUCUGUCCACUCUUCAGCCUCUGCUUCCCAUUGGUCUUCCCCCAGCUCCCCUGGUCCUGUAGCCUGGGCUACUGGGCUGGCAAGACCCCAGACUCCUUAAUGGUAGAGUUCUCUUGGGGAAUCUCAGAAAUCUGUAGAAAGGUGGCUCUCAUGGACUGGUAGCAAGUGUCCACAAGUUUGGUGACAUCAGCAUCCGUAAGGCCAUUGGUAGGGACAGCAUCCAGCACUUGUACCCUGAUCGUUCCUGGGGAGGAA